GACGAACGCUGGCGGCGUGCCUAACACAUGCAAGUCGAGCGAGUGAAUCUCCUUCGGGAGUGAAGCUAGCGGCGGACGGGUGAGUAACACGUGGGCAACCUGCCUCAUAGAGGGGAAUAGCCUUCCGAAAGGGAGAUUAAUACCGCAUAAGAUUGUAGCUUCGCAUGAAGUAGCAAUUAAAGGAGCAAUCCGCUAUGAGAUGGGCCCGCGGCGCAUUAGCUAGUUGGUGAGGUAAUGGCUCACCAAGGCGACGAUGCGUAGCCGACCUGAGAGGGUGAUCGGGCACAUUGGGACUGAGACACGGCCCAGACUCCGACGGGAGGCAGCAGUGGGGAAUAUUGCACAAUGGGGGAAACCCUGAUGCAGCAACGGCGCGUGAGUGAUGACGGCCUUCGGGUUGUAAAGCUCUGUCUUCAGGGACGAUAAUGACGGUACCUGAGGAGGAAGCCACGGCUAACUACGUGCCAGCCGCCGCGGUAA
rnacentral:rRNA from 1 species